rnacentral:rRNA from 1 species
AGGACGAACGCUGGCGGCGUGCUUAACACAUGCAAGUCGAGCGAACCUUCGGGUUAGCGGCGAACGGGUGAGUAACACGUGGGCAACCUGCCCCAAGCUCUGGGAUAACCUCCGGAAACGGGGACUAAUACCGGAUAUGACUCUUGAAGACAUCUUCUUGAGUGGAAAGUUUUUCGGCUUGGGAUGGGCCCGCGGCCUAUCAGCUUGUUGGUGGGGUAACGGCCUACCAAGGCGACGACGGGUAGCUGGCCUGAGAGGGCGACCGGCCACACUGGGACUGAGACACGGCCCAGACUCCUACGGGAGGCAGCAGUGGGGAAUAUUGCGCAAUGGGCGAAAGCCUGACGCAGCGACGCCGCGUGAGGGAUGAAGGCCUUCGGGUUGUAAACCUCUUUCAGCAGGGACGAAGCGAAAGUGACGGUACCUGCAGAAGAAGCACCGGCCAACUACGUGCCAGCAGCCGC